GAUAAACGCUGGCGGCGCACAUAAGACAUGCAAGUUGAACGGACUUAAUCGAAAUAUUUAUAUUUUGAAGCGGUUAGUGGCGGACUGGUGAGUAACGCGUAAGGAACCUGCCUAUUAGAGGGGAAUAACAGUGAGAAAUCAUUGCUAAUACCGCAUAUGCCAUAGAUAUCACAUGAUAACAGUGGGAAAGGAGCAAUCCGCUAAUAGAUGGCCUUGCGUCUGAUUAGAUAGUUGGUGGGGUAACGGCCUACCAAGUCGACGAUCAGUAGCCGGACUAAGAGGUUGAACGGCCACAUUGGGACUGAGGUACGGCCCAGACUCCUACGGGAGGCAGCAGGCGGGAAUAUUGCGCAAUGGAGGAAACUCUGACGCAGUGACGCCGCGUAUAGGAAGAAGGUUUUCGGAAUGUAAACUAUUGUCGUUAGGGAAGAGAAAGGACAGUACCUAAGGAGGAAGCUCCGGCUAACUACGUG
rnacentral:rRNA from 1 species